rnacentral:rRNA from 1 species
GUCGGACGGGAUUGAGAAGCUUGCUUUCCAUGAGAGUGGCGCACGGGUGCGUAACACGUAUGUAACCUACCUUAUCCAGGGGGAUAGCCUCCCGAAAGAGAGAUUAACACCGCAUAACAUUAUUGAAUAGCAUUAUUUAAUAAUCAAAUAUUUAUAGGGAUAAGAUGGGCAUGCGGGACAUUAGCUAGUUGGCGGGGUAACGGCCCACCAAGGCGACGAUGUCUAGGGGAUCUGAGAGGAUGACCCCCCACACUGGUACUGAGACACGGACCAGACUCCUACGGGAGGCAGCAGUAAGGAAUAUUGGUCAAUGGGCGAAAGCCUGAACCAGCCAUGCCGCGUGCAGGAAGACGGCCCUACGGGUUGUAAACUGCUUUUGCAGGGGAAUAAACCCCGGUACGUGUACCGGGCUGAAUGUACUCUGAGAAUAAGGAUCGGCUAACUCCGUGCCAGCAGCCGCG